AGGGUGUAAACGCUGCAGACUUGGUGUUGGAGGCCCUUUGGGGGCAUUCAGUGCCGGAGAGAAGUUGUUAAGUCUGCUACUUGGGAGUACGUCCGCAAGGAUGAAACUUAAAGGAAUUGGCGGGGGAGGCACCGCAACGGGAGGAGCGUGCGGUUUAAUUGGAUUCAACACCGUAAAACUCACCAGGGAAGACUGUUACAUGAAGGCCGAGAUGAAGACUCUGCUAGAUUUUCAGAGAGGAGGUGCAUGGC
rnacentral:rRNA from 1 species